rnacentral:rRNA from 1 species
UACGAAGGGAGCUAGCGUUGUUCGGAAUCACUGGGCGUAAAGCGCACGUAGGCGGAUUUGUCAGUCAGGGGUGAAAUCCCGGGGCUCAACCUCGGAACUGCCUUUGAUACAGCAAGUCUUGAGUUCGAGAGAGGUGGGUGGAAUUCCUAGUGUAGAGGUGAAAUUCGUAGAUAUUAGGAAGAACACCGGUGGCGAAGGCGGACCACUGGCUCGAUACUGACGCUGAGGUGCGAAAGCGUGGGGAGCAAACAGG